UACAGAGGUUUCAAGCGUUGUUCGGAUUCAUUGGGCGUAAAGGGUGCGUAGGUGGCGGGGUAAGUCAGGUGUGAAAUUUCGGAGCUUAACUCCGAAACUGCAUUUGAUACUGCCUUGCUUGAGGACUGGAGAGGAGACUGGAAUUCACGGUGUAGCAGUGAAAUGCGUAGAUAUCGUGAGGAAGACCAGUGGCGAAGGCGGGUCUCUGGACAGUUCCUGACACUGAGGCACGAAGGCCAGGGGAGCAAACGGG
rnacentral:rRNA from 1 species